rnacentral:rRNA from 1 species
AGUGAACGCUGGCGGCAGGCCUAACACAUGCAAGUCGAACGACAGCACAGUAAGAGCUUGCUCUUACGGGUGGCGAGGGACGGACGGGUGAGGCAUACAUCGGAAUCUACUAUUUCGUGGGGGAUAACGGAGGGAAACAGACGCUAACACCGAAUACGUCCUACGGCUUAAAUCAGUAGAGCUUCACACCUUUCGCGUUUGAUUGAGCUGAUGUCGCAUUAGCUAGUUGACUGGGUAAGGGCCCACCAAGGCGACGAACCGUAGCUGGUCUGAGAGGAUGAUCGGCCACACGGGAACUGAGAAACGGUCCAGACUCCUACGGGAGGCAGCGGUGGGGAAUAUUCGCAAAUGGGCGAAGGCCUGAUCCAGCAAGACCGCGGGGGUGAAGAAGGCCUUGGGGUGGUAAAGCCCUUUUGUUGGGAAGGAAAAGCGGGAGGUUAAUACCGCGCGGUUCGGACGGUACCAAAAGAAUAAGCACCGGCUAACUCCGUG